AGAGUUUGAUCAUGGCUCAGAAUGAACGCUGGCGGCGUGCUUUACACAUGCAAGUCGAGCGAGGCGGCCCGCAAGGGCCAGUCGAGCGGCGAACGGGUGAGUAACGCGUGGAUUAUCUGCCCUAAGGUGGGGGAUAACCCGGGGAAACUCGGGCUAAUACCGCAUAUGACCGUGAGGUCAAAGGGGGGUCGCAAGAUCUCUCGCCAUUGGAGGAGUCCGCGUCCGAUUAGCUAGUUGGUAGGGUAAUGGCCUACCAAGGCGACGAUCGGUAGCCGGCCUGAGAGGGUGAUCGGCCACACUGGAACUGAGACACGGUCCAGACUCCUACGGGAGGCAGCAGUGGGGAAUUUUGCGCAAUGGGCUAACGCCUGACGCAGCAACGCCGCGUGGAGGAUGAAGGUCUUUGGAUUGUAAACUCCUGUCAGCAGGGAAAAAGCGAGCCGACCUAAUACGUCGGUGAGUUGAUUGUACCUGCAGAGGAAGCCCCGGCUAACUCUGUGCCAGCAGCCGCGGUAAUACAGAGGGGGCAAGCGUUAUUCGGAAUUAUUGGGCGUAAAGGGCGCGUAGGCGGCCUGGCAAGUGGAAGGUGAAAUCCCUCGGCUUAACCGAGGAACUGCCUCCCAAACUGCUUGGCUUGAGACCGGGAGAGGUGAGUGGAAUUCCCAGUGUAGCGGUGAAAUGCGUAGAUAUUGGGAGGAACACCAGUGGCGAAGGCGGCUCACUGGACCGGUACUGACGCUGAGGCGCGAAAGCGUGGGGAGCAAACGGGAUUAGAUACCCUAGUAGUCC
rnacentral:rRNA from 1 species